AGAUAAUUUUGAGAUUUUGGUAGUAAUCAAGUGUUCCUUCCGAUGAACUCGUUCAAGUUUACCACGUGUUCCAUUUCUACAUGAUUUUUAUUAUAACGUGAGCGGAAUCGAUCGAAUCACAGAGAACUCAUCCAUCUGCAAGGUUCCUCAUACGGACUUCUUAACUCAGUAAAAUCUGUCCAAAAUGAAACCUGAAUCUGCUUAUACGGAAGAAAUUCUUUGAAACGAUGCGAUUUACGUGUUAAAACAAGAAAAAAAAACCUGUUAAAGACGGAAACCUGCCAAAACAAGAAAAUAUUCGAGGGAUAUUUCCUGUGUAGGAACGUGUAUAAAAUCCUUCUCUAGGGAUAUGAUUUGCUCUACAGAGGGAUAUAUGUCUGGUUUCUAAUCUCAGGAGUAUUGUGAUGAAGUCUUACAGUGGAGUCUCCAUUAAGGAAUCAAAAUUUUCUAGUGACCUUUAACCUAUAUAAACGACUGUAUUGAAUUUAAA